AGGAAUAUAGUUAAAAUAUAAUAUUUAUUUUGCAAAUAAAAGUUACAUAAUAAUUAUUCUUA
rnacentral:tRNA from 1 species